rnacentral:rRNA from 1 species
GACGAACGCUGGCGGCGUGCCUAACACAUGCAAGUCGAGCGGGAACCUCAGGAGGGGUAACCCUCCUGAGGGGAGAGCGGCGAACGGGUGAGUAACACGUGGGCAACCUGCCCCGGACACCGGGAUAACCCAGGGAAACCUGAGCUAAUACCGGAUACUCCGGCGAGAUCGCGUUGUCGCGCCGGGAAAGCUCCGACGGUCCGGGAUGGGCCCGCGGCCUAUCAGCUUGUUGGUGGGGUAACGGCCCACCAAGGCGAGGACGGGUAGCUGGUCUGGGAGGAAGGCCAGGCACACUGGGACUGAGACACGGCCCAGACUCCUACGGGAGGCAGCAGGGGGGGAUCUUGCGCUAAUGCGCGAAAGCGUGACGCAGCGACGCCGCGUGGGGGAUGAAGGCCCUCGGGUUGUAAACCCCUUUCGGCAGGGACGAAGCGAAAGUGACGGUACCUGCAGAAGAAGUCCCGGCUAACUACGUGCCAGCCGCCGCCGUAA